CGCCGAACAGCCGCGAGCAGCGCCCGAAAGGGUCUGUGCGAGGAAAGUCCGGGCUUCACAGAGCAAAAAUAACGGCUAACGGCCGCCGGGGGCGACCCCAGGGAUAGUGCAACAGAAAGCAACCGCCCGCUUUGCGGGUAAGGGUGGAAAGGUGAGGUAAGAGCUCACCGGAGGGCGGGAGACCGCUCUGCCGUGUAAACCCUAUUUGAAGCAACACCGUGGAGGAACAUUUGCGCUUGCUCGGCGCGUUCCGGGGAGGUGGCGUUGAGCGGCUCGGGCAACCGACCGCCAAGAUAGAUGGCUGUUCAAGACAGAACCCGGCUUACAGACGCAGUC
rnacentral:RNase_P_RNA from 1 species